CUGGCGGCGUGCCUAAUACAUGCAAGUCGAACGGUCUUUCUAUGGAAGCUUGCUUCCACUGAGAAGAUAGUGGCGAACGGGUGAGUAACACGUGGGUAACCUGCCCAUAAGGGGGGAUAACAUCCGGAAACGGGUGCUAAUACCGCAUAGUUUUCUUGAUUGCAUGAUUGAGAAAGGAAAGACGGCCUUUGUGCUGUCGCUUAUGGAUGGACCCGCGGCGUAUUAGUUAGUUGGUGAGGUAACGGCUCACCAAGACGAUGAUACGUAGCCGACCUGAGAGGGUGAUCGGCCACAUUGGGACUGAGACACGGCCCAAACUCCUACGGGAGGCAGCAGUAGGGAAUCUUCCGCAAUGGACGAAAGUCUGACGGAGCAACGCCGCGUGAGUGAAAGAAGGUUUUCGGAUCGUAAAACUCUGUUGUCAGAGAAGAACAAGUUGGAGAGUAACUGCUCCAGCCUUGACGGUAUCUGACCAGAAAGCCACGGCUAACUACGUGCCAGCCGCCGC
rnacentral:rRNA from 1 species